ACCCGCUGAACUUAAGCAUAUCAAUAAGCGGAGGAAAAGAAACCAACAGGGAUUGCCCUAGUAACGGCGAGUGAAGCGGCAACAGCUCAAAUUUGAAAUCUGGCUCUCGGGCCCGAGUUGUAAUUUGUAGAGGAUACUUUUGAUGCGGUGCCUUCCGAGUUCCCUGGAACGGGACGCCAUAGAGGGUGAGAGCCCCGUCUGGUUGGAUGCCAAAUCUCUGUAAAGUUCCUUCGACGAGUCGAGUAGUUUGGGAAUGCUGCUCUAAAUGGGAGGUAUAUGUCUUCUAAAGCUAAAUACCGGCCAGAGACCGAUAGCGCACAAGUAGAGUGAUCGAAAGAUGAAAAGCACUUUGAAAAGAGAGUUAAAAAGUACGUGAAAUUGUUGAAAGGGAAGCGUUUAUGACCAGACUUGGGCUUGGUUAAUCAUCUGGGGUUCUCCCCAGUGCACUUUUCCAGUCCAGGCCAGCAUCAGUUUUCGCCGGGGGAUAAAGACUUCGGGAAUGUGGCUCUCUUCGGGGAGUGUUAUAGCCCGUUGUGUAAUACCCUGGCGGGGACUGAGGUUCGCGCAUCUGCAAGGAUGCUGGCGUAAUGGUCAUCAACGACCCGUCUUGAAACACGGACCAAGGAGUCGUCUUCGUAUGCGAGUGUUCGGGUGUCAAACCCCUACGCGUAAUGAAAGUGAACGCAGGUGAGAGCUUCGGCGCAUCAUCGACCGAUCCUGAUGUUCUCGGAUGGAUUUGAGUAAGAGCAUACGGGGCCGGACCCGAAAGAAGGUGAACUAUGCCUGUAUAGGGUGAAGCCAGAGGAAACUUUGGUGGAGGCUCGCAGCGGUUCUGACGUGCAAAUCGAUCGUCAAAUAUGGGCAUGGGGGCGAAAGACUAAUCGAACCUUCUAGUAGCUGGUUUCCGCCGAAGUUUCCCUCAGGA
rnacentral:rRNA from 1 species